UCAAUCACUCCACAAUCUCUCCCUUUUUGAUGAUGACAAAACAUUGAGUAUAUGUAAAGUGAAUUGCUCAACAAACAAGGAAAUUCAUAAUACAAUUUCAAAAUGAAUUCAAAUAUCUGGUUAUUUAAUUUAUCCAAACUUGAAAGGUGUGAAACAAUAAAUUUUGGAGUUAAAGCUCCCCCUUUCAUUUAGAAUUAUAUAAGCCUUCAUAUCAUGCAAUCAAUUGUUUGGCUUA
rnacentral:lncRNA from 1 species